GCAGCACCCACUCAUCUCUGACCUUCGUGGAGAAAACUACUCCAGUCUGUAAACCAGGUAGCCUCAGAUUCCAGCAGCAACGCAAGCGCGAGCUCGGAAAGAGAAUCCACGUGUUGUAAGAAAAUGGCAGACAAGGCAGACAUGCGGGAAAUCGCCAGCUUCGAUAAGGCCAAGCUGAAGAAAACCGAGACGCAGGAGAAUAACACCCUGCCGACCAAAGAGACCAUCGAACAGCUCAGGAUGUGAGCCCUCGGCUUCCACUUCAGCCACCAAGCCUGCUGCAUGCUGCCAGGCUUCCCAGACAUGACAAACUCUGGAUCCACAAGCCCAAAUAAAGUCUCA
rnacentral:lncRNA from 1 species